UAAACUUUCAUUCAAAGCCGCCAGGAGCUGGGUCUUUAAAAUAACCACCGUCUCAUUACAGAGUGAAAGUAGCAGUUCCUCCUGAAGGUCAGAGAUUGCAGCAUCUGAGGGCCUCUUCAAAAGAAGACGUAGUUGAUGAAGGCGUUCUGGAGCAGGACCAGAAAGACCAUGACCAAGCAGCCUUGAGAUCUUAGGCAGCGUCUCCCUCAGGUCCCUCUCUAUCUCCCCACACUUCCACCAACCACUGGAACACAUCUCCAAAGUUCUGCCGGGCCAGCUCAGCUUCCCCUCAGGAGAAGUACCACCACCUGCCAGAUGAAGGAGCCUUUUGAGAGGCAGCUGGCAUCGUGAUUGGACUGUACUUUGGUCUGUUCCAAUCCAGCUUCAGCUCCAGAGACGGCAGGCGGGACAAGUCAACGGAGGCCGGACUCCAUGGAUUUUAUGAAUGGUGGUUAAAGACCUGCUCUUCUAGUGGUCUUCCAGUCGCUGUAAAAAGUCAGUCCAUCCUGGCCGACUCCAACAUCUCUUCAUGACAACUUGUUCUACC
ensembl:lncRNA